AUGCUUGCUUUGGCAGCACACAUACUAAAUUGAAACGGUACAAAGAUGAGUGUGGCCCCUGCACAAGGAUAACACACAAAUUCAUGAAGUAUACCACGUUUUU
ensembl:snRNA U6 U6 spliceosomal RNA